rnacentral:rRNA from 1 species
AUUGAACGCUGGCGGAAUGCUUUACACAUGCAAGUCGAACGGCAGCACGGGGCAACCUGGUGGCGAGUGGCGAACGGGUGAGUAAUACAUCGGAACGUGCCCAAUCGUGGGGGAUAACGUAGCGAAAGCUACGCUAAUACCGCAUACGAUCUACGGAUGAAAGCGGGGGAUCGCAAGACCUCGCGCGAAUGGAGCGGCCGAUGGCAGAUUAGGUAGUUGGUGGGGUAAAGGCUCACCAAGCCUGCGAUCUGUAGCUGGUCUGGGAGGACGACCAGCCACACUGGAACUGAGACACGGUCCAGACUCCUACGGGAGGCAGCAGUGGGGAAUUUUGGACAAUGGGCGAAAGCCUGAUCCAGCCAUUCCGCGUGCAGGAUGAAGGCCCUCGGGUUGUAAACUGCUUUUGUACGGAACGAAAAGGCUUUCUCUAAUACAGAGAGCUCAUGACGGUACCGUAAGAAUAAGCACCGGCUAACUACGUGCCAGCAGCCGCGGUAAUACGUAGGGUGCAAGCGUUAAUCGGAAUUACUGGGCGUAAAGCGUGCGCAGGCGGUGAUGUAAGACAGUUGUGAAAUCCCCGGGCUCAACCUGGGAACUGCAUCUGUGACUGCAUCGCUGGAGUGCGGCAAAGGGGGAUGGAAUUCCGCGUGUAGCAGUGAAAUGCGUAGAUAUGCGGAGGAACACCGAUGGCGAAGGCAAUCCCCUGGGCCUGCACUGACGCUCAUGCACGAAAGCGUGGGGAGCAAACAGGAUUAGAUACCCUGGUAGUCCACGCCCUAAACGAUGUCAACUGGUUGUUGGGUCUUCAC